rnacentral:rRNA from 1 species
GACGAACGCUGGCGGCGUGCUUAACACAUGCAAGUCGAACGGAAAGGCUCCAGCUUGCUGGAGUACUCGAGUGGCGAACGGGUGAGUAACACGUGGGUAAUCUGCCCUGCACUCUGGGAUAAGCCUGGGAAACUGGGUCUAAUACUGGAUAUGACCUUUCUCCUUAUGGGGUUUGGUGGAAAGUUUUUCGGUGUAGGAUGAGCCCGCGGCCUAUCAGCUUGUUGGUGGGGUGAUGGCCUACCAAGGCGACGACGGGUAGCCGGCCUGAGAGGGUGAUCGGCCACAUUGGGACUGAGAUACGGCCCAGACUCCUACGGGAGGCAGCAGUGGGGAAUAUUGCACAAUGGGCGGAAGCCUGAUGCAGCGACGCCGCGUGAGGGAUGACGGCCUUCGGGUUGUAAACCUCUUUCAGCAGGGACGAAGUGUAAGUGACGGUACCUGCAGAAGAAGCACCGGCUAACUAUGUG